rnacentral:rRNA from 1 species
AUACGGAGGAUGCAAGCGUUAUCCGGAUUUAUUGGGUUUAAAGGGUGCGUAGGCGGAUGAUUAAGCGUGAGGUGAAAUGCCACUGCUCAACAGUGGAACUGCCUCGCGAACUGGUUGUCUUGAAUGCUCCUGCCGUGGGAGGAAUGUGUGGUGUAGCGGUGAAAUGCUUAGAGAUUACACAGAACACCGAUUGCGAAGGCAUCUCACGAAGGGUUGAUUGACGCUGAGGCACGAAAGCGUGGGGAUCAAACAGGAUUAGAUACCCUGGUAGUCCACGCAGUAAACGAUGAUGGCUAACCGCUGGGCUUAUCAGUUCAGUGGCCAAGCGAAAGCGAUAAGCCAUCCACCUGGGGAGUACGACCGCAAGGUUGAAACUCAAAGGAAUUGACGGGG